GACUUAUCGGUCAUCGCGAAUGCAUCCAAUGAUUAAGAUCCAUGGCUCAGGAUGAACCCUGGCGGUAUGCCUACACAUGCAAGUCGAACGGUCGCGAAAGUGACAGUGGCGCACGGGUGAGGAACACGUAGCUAACCUGCCUUUCAGUCUGGGAUAACGUCUCGAAAGGGAUGCUAAGACCGGAUAAGCUCACGCGUGGUAGGGACGAGUGAGAAAAGGGGUAAGACGCUGAAAGAGGGGGCUGCGGCGCAUCAGGUAGUUGGUGGGCGUAAGGGCUCACCAAGCCGACGACGCGUACGGGGUCUGAGAGGAUGGCCCCCCACACUGGGACCGAGACACGGCCCAGGACUCCUACGGGAGGCAGCAGUGAGGGAUAUUGCGCAAUGGGGGAAACCCUGACGCAGCGACGCCGCGUGGGUGAUGAAGGCCUUCGGGUCGUAAAGCCCUUUUGCCACUGACGAGACAAGGACGGUAGGUGGCGACAUAAGCCUCGGCUAACUACGUGCCAGCAGCCGUCGGUAAAAACGUAGCGAGGCGAGCGUUAUCCGGAGUUACUGGGCGUAAAGCGCGCGCAGGCGGUGGUGUAAGUUGAAGCUGUGAAAAGUUUCCCGGCUUAAACCGGGGGGAAGUGCGGCAUCAGAACUGACGACUACAAGGGGAGGUAGAAGAGCCGGUGNAAUUCAGG
rnacentral:rRNA from 1 species